rnacentral:rRNA from 1 species
CCUACGGGGGGCAGCAGUGAGGAAUAUUGGUCAAUGGCCGUAAGGCUGAACCAGCCAAGUAGCGUGAGGGAAGACUGCCCUAUGGGUUGUAAACCUCUUUUAUGCGGGGAUAAAGGUGUCCACGUGUGGAUGUUUGUAGGUACCGCAUGAAUAAGGACCGGCUAAUUCCGUGCCAGCAGCCGCGGUAAUACGGAAGGUCCGGGCGUUAUCCGGAUUUAUUGGGUUUAAAGGGAGCGUAGGCCGGCUUUUAAGUCAGCUGUGAAAGUCCGCGGCUCAACCGUGGAAUUGCAGUUGAAACUGGAGGCCUUGAGUGCACACAGGGAUGCCGGAAUUCAUGGUGUAGCGGUGAAAUGCUUAGAUAUCAUGAAGAACUCCGAUCGCGAAGGCAAGUGUCCGGGGUGCAACUGACGCUGAGGCUCGAAAGUGCGGGUAUCAAACAGGAUUAGAUACCCUGGUAGUC